UACAGAGGUCUCAAGCGUUGUUCGGAUUCAUUGGGCGUAAAGGGUGCGUAGGUGGCAUGGUCAGUCGGAUGUGAAAUCCCGGGGCUCAGCCCCGGAACUGCAUUCGAUACUGCCGCGCUAGAGUACUGGAGAGGAGAUUGGAAUUUACGGUGUAGCAGUGAAAUGCGUAGAUAUCGUAAGGAAGACCAGUGGCGAAGGCGGAUCUCUGGACAGUUACUGACACUGAGGCACGAAGGCCAGGGGAGCAAACGGG
rnacentral:rRNA from 1 species